UACGUAGGGUGCGAGCGUUGUCCGGAAUUAUUGGGCGUAAAGAGCUUGUAGGCGGUUUGUCGCGUCUGCCGUGAAAAUCCGGGGCUCAACCCCGGACUUGCGGUGGGUACGGGCAGACUAGAGUGUGGUAGGGGAGACUGGAAUUCCUGGUGUAGCGGUGAAAUGCGCAGAUAUCAGGAGGAACACCGGUGGCGAAGGCGGAUCUCUGGGCCUUACCUGACGCUCAGGUGCGAAAGCUAGGGGAGCAAACAGG
rnacentral:rRNA from 1 species